GGAUGGUCUGAGGAGACGUGUAAUGCACACAGUGCUCUUGAUUGUCUGAGGAGACGUGUAAUGCACAGUGAUCUGGACAGCAUGUGUGGACAGGAAACCAAGUGGCAGGAGAGCAGGAUGGGCAGAGUUUAUGACCUAAAGUGAUAUUAAAGGAUAAUUUUUAUAAAUAAAA